UUUUGUAAAUAAUGUCAACUUUUUAAAGAUGGUUUUUGUGAAAUCGUCUUUGAAACCUCAAAACAACGAUGAAUUUCAAGAGAAUCGUUGUCGAUUUGGUGUAUUCAAAGAUAGUUCGUGAAAAUCGUCUUUGAAUCAGUACUAAAAAAAGACAUCACUGCGUGACCUUUCCUUAUACUACUAAUUCACCCUAUUGCAUGUGCUCUCGAUCAGCCACUAUUCCUUGUGACCUUUCCCUAUACUACUAGUUCAAGCAAGUUUGACGGCAACACAGCCUUCUACGAUGGCAGAUCCGUGCCUUCUCCUCAGCCUUCUCACGGCCCCAUGCCUUCCUUCUAUUCCUCCAAGAAUCGUGAUGCUCAAACCUUGCUUCCUCUGAUAGUCAAGCAGAUAUACGGUGCGUCUCAGUAAGUGACAAUAAAACGAAUUUGAUUAUGGUUGAUGGUGUAGACCUUAACAGUUCUUGUAGGAAGGGUGUGCAUCAAAGUUGGAGGAAUUACUGACAUCACUUUUGUGCCUAAUGAUGAUACUGGGAAGAUUGAGUGCUUCACGGAGAUGUUGAAACAGAUGAAGCUGAGGGGGCAUCGUAGAAGAAUGGUCUGAAAUAGAAUAUGGAAGCAAUGGUGGAGUGGUCUCGAAGCUCCAACACUGAAGUGAAGAGAGAGAAACAAUGGCCAAUGUUUCAAUUCCACUCUCGCAAAACGGUUUCUCCAUACCCAAUUACUCAACAAAACACCUAUGUUUCACCCCUUCAACUCCAUCACUCAGAAUUUCUUGCCCUGGCAGUCAUACCAACCACUGGAGAGUUUGUUUACCAAGGAUCAAGGGGCCAACAGUUUUCUAGUGUAAGGCCUGUGGAAGAGAAUAUGAGGAGACUGUAAGUAUUUUACAUAUGGACUUUUCCUUCAUGUAUUAUUGUACUUGCUUUCUCUGCAGGAUUAAGUAAUUACAUAAGGAAGCUGAAGAGCUAUGG